GUUUUUUUGCCAAACUUGUUAGUCAAGAUCAGCCCAAGGUUAUUCAAUCUUUAUUUCCUUUUAUUAGCCUCUCAAUGGUUGUACGAGCUAAAACUAAUGACCGCGUCAUUUUUUAAAAAAUCCUCCCCUCUAAAUUUUUUUUCAGAGUUUGUGUCUUUUGAUUUAAAGACCUUAAUUUCUUUGUUAAGAUUGUAACUCACUACGGGUGUCUGUUUCACAACGUAUCCUUGUUUUUCAAAAUUUCUUCAAAUUGUUUUCGAAAACAAUAGAGUUGGAUGAUUCCUCUGAGAUUGUUUGAUCAAGAAGCACUCUAGCCCCUGAAUAUGAGAAUAAAAUGUUACUGGUGAAAAGUCUGAAUAUGAGAAUAAAAUGUUACUGGUGAAAAGUCUGAAUCCAAGAUCUAGGUGAAUUACUUGAAGAGUAGUGAUCUUAUAGGACACUGCCACAAAUAGUGGCGUGAGACCCUACAGAUCACUGUAAAUCUCAAGACCCGUUUAAAUUUUAAACCAUCGUUUACCUUCCUUUCUCUGUCCCCCCAUAAAUUUAUCAGGACCCGUAUAACCUAGGGCCGUACCUCUCUCUCUCUCUCUCUCUCUCUCUCUCUCUCUACUACUACACACACACAUACUAGUUAGGUGUCUUCUAACUAGUUACGUAGGUUACGUAUAUUGGUUUGUUGUCGUGGGUCGUAGUUUAAAGUUAAGGUUAAGUUUAAANNNNNNNNNNNNNNNNNNNNCCUACAGAUCACUGUAAAUACUCAAGACCCGUUAACUUUUAAACCUAUCGUUACCUUCCUUCUCUGUCCCCCACUAAUUAUCAGACCGUACUAACCUAGGCCGUACCUCUCUCUGUGUUCUCUCUCUCUCUCUCUCUCUCUCUCUCACACACACAAUUACAAGGUUUAGGGUGCUUUCUAAAACUAGGUUUUACAGGGUUUCAUAUUGGGUUUUCUGCUGGGGGCUAUUUUAAAUUAGGGAUUUUAAAAAAUUUGUGGUUCUGUAUAGGACGAAAAUGUUGUUCAUAGCUGCAAAACCCAUGAAAAUAUGUUUUCCUGCCAUAUUUCUCUGAGAUAUCAAGUGAUUUUUCUUCAUUCAAAUGAUUUUGUUCAAGAUUAGAUCUUUGCAGCUUAUUCUCAGAUUUUGUAGGAUAAAUUUUAUUAUGUGUUUUAAAAAUCUUGGUUUAUUCUCAGUUUUCCAGGAAUAAUUGAUAAAAUAUUAUUCAUUUUUUCCAUUUAUCAUCAUGUUCUCUUCCAUCACAACUUUCAUUGUGUUUCUUAUUCAUACAUGAAAUAAAUAUCUUCACACUUCAAUCAUGGUUUGAGUUUGUACAAGGCUUGCUGAAAAAGUUGCAACUGCUGGAUACUUUGUAAUUGUUCCGGACUACUUCAAUGGGGAUCCAUAUAUAUCUGGGAGCCCGAUCCAAGAUUGGAUAAAGUCUCUUAUUCCAGUGAGUUUUGAAUAAUAUCGACUGUCGUAGUUAUUCUUUUCAUUGGAGAUAUAAGAAUCUUGUUCUUUACGUUGCUUGAAACCUUUUUUUUCAUUUUAAGUGUCAUAUUAUACGUGCAAUGUUUAUUUUAGUAGACAUUAAUGAGUUGUUAAAUGAAGAAUUCCUUUGAAAUUUCAUGAUUAAUCUCCUUCUCAAUAUGAUUUUCUCCAACUCGCAAAUCAUUUAAGAUCCAAGGCAGAUGUUUGAAUUGGGAAUGCAGUCUUUGGGAAAAAUUAGGGCUUAGUACAUCAAAUUCAUGUUCUCUCUAUCAAACAUAAAGGGU
rnacentral:lncRNA from 1 species